CCCCCCCACUGAUGGCUGGUGUCUUGCAGGGCAGUGGAAGGGGAGAUUUACCGCCUGGGGCUGCGCCUGGAGGGGCUGAGAGAGCGGCUGGAGCCGGGGGGCAGGCGGCAGUCCCUCCCUCAGCCCCCCCUGCAGCCCCACUGUCCCCAAGCCCCAUCCCCACCACCGGCUGACCAUUCCCCACGCCCCGAGGUGAGCUGGGGGUGCAAAGGUUCCCCACCCCUCUGCAUUUAUGGGGGGUUGCCCCUCUUACUCCCUUGUGCCCACAGAUCCCUGCGCUGGUGGAGGAACCUCGGGGGACAGCAGGGGCCAGCGAGGGGGUGUCAGGGGGGCUGCCCUGGCCCCUCUGGCACAAGCAGCGCCAAGUGGAGGAGGAUUUUGGGGAGCUGCUGGAGCAGUACAAGCACUUCAAGUCCUUGCCGGAGUCGCUGAGCCUGGAGCAGCUGAGCCUGGUGGGGAGCCAGUCUCAGGAGGAGGUGGAUGCACCCACGGCAGGGGAUGGUGGCCCCAGCAAGGUCCCCUGCAGGACACGGUCACUCGAGGAGGAGCCCAACCUCGAGCCCUUGGCACUGCACCUCCCACAGAGAAGAGCUGCGACUCUUCCCCCCAGAGGACCCGCAAACCUGGAGGAGACACUGGGCCACCCCUCCCCUGCCCCUGCUGAGGAGCCACCAGCCUCUGCCAAGCCCCCCCUGGGGGUCCCUGGGCCACCACGGGUGUCCCUGUCCCUCGGUGGGACAGGCAGUGGUGCCACCCAGCCUGGGCCCCACAAGGUGAGUCUCUGGGGCUGCAGAUCCUCACCUGAGAGCCCCCCCAGAGCCCCCCAGCUGGGCACCCACCCUGCUGUCCCUGUCCCUCUGCAGGAGCAGCGCAUCGUGUCCCCAGAGACCGACAGUGGCUUCGUGGGCUCGGAGGCCAGCAGGGUGUCACCCCCCGUGCACACCCCUGAGCAACAUCGCCCAGGGGCUCCGGGCUCGCUGGGACCCUCCGUCCCCAUCCCCAGCAGCCUCCGUACCCCACGGGAGAGAGAGACGACCCCGCUUCCCUCCGAGACAGCACUGAUGGGCAUCUACCCCCCGAGGGGCACAGGGGAGCCCCCCAGCAGCCCCUCUGAGAGCAGCUCCCCCCCUCGCUGGGCUGAGGGCAGCGAGGUGGGACCCGACCCCGACGGUGACGGCACUCACACGGACUCGGAGGUGGGAGACAGGAGCUGUGCCAGCGCUGGUGGCCGCCCCCCAGCCAUGGCCAGGAGCCCCACCAGCCCCCUGCCCUCGCCCCAAACUCCAUCCCCCACCCUCCUGUCCCCCGACCUGCCGUCCGUGGACCCGGCUCACUGUGACCUGCUGGGCUUCCGUCUGGAGCGCGACCAGGCCAUCCGGGCGCUGCAGGACGAGGUGUGGCGGCUGCGGCGGAGGCUGGAGGAGAGCCUGUGCCACUCCCGCAGCUACCCCGAGGGAAAAGCCACUCCCCGUGUCACCCCGGGCAGGAGGCAGCCGCUGGCCAGCGCACCAUCGGCCCCGCAGGACGCGGCACCCUCGGGGUAGGUGACAGGGGGGACCCGGGGGGUGUGGGGGCAGCGUGGGGACACCCCCGGCCUGAGGCUGUCCCCAUCUCUGCUGUGACCAGGGAGGGGUGUGGCUUGAAGGGACUGGUGGGUGGAGGUGGUAACGGUGGAGGUGGUGACAGCAUUUCUGUCCCCUGUGCAGGCAGCCGAGCCCCCCGGUGCGGGGCAGGGCGGCCCCCGGGGUCACACCCAUGCGGAGGGGCAGGUCGGCAUCGCUGCCACGGGACAAGCCCGAGCUGGACCUCGGUAAGGGUGAUGGGGACAGAGGGGACAUGUCCUCCCUGCGUGCCACUUGCCCUCCCCAGGAUGUUGUGGGGCUGCAGCACCGUGGGGACCAGGUCCUGGUGGUCCCACAGACCCCACAGUGCUCAGCCCAGGGUGGGUCCUGCAGGUCUGGAGCUGGGUCCCGGCGGAUGCCACCCCCCUUCCCUGUCCUCUGCCACAGCCUCCGAGUCAGAGCCCGGGCCCCGGGCACCCCCAGCCCUGCGGAAGCACCUUGGGAAGCCCCCGGGGGCGGUGACAUUCCGGGGACAGCACGCAGGUGGGUGCUGGUCGGUGGUGGGGCUGAAGGUGGCCGUCCCCACCCUGGGGACCCUGGCCAUGCUCACGCUGGGGUUUGGCAGGGACACGGUACCAGGCGGGGACACCACGUGCCACCCCGGCACCCCGAGAAGAGCCGGGCACCUCGGGGUGUCCCCGAUGUCACAGGGGCAGGAUGGUAUCAGGUGAGUGGCCCACAGCCCCUUCCAGCCUUUCCUACCACCCCAAACAGCUGCUAAUGACCUUCAUUAAUUAACUGGAGAAGCUUAGGGAGGGGACAAACCCAUUCCUCAUGGCCUGAGGCUCUCCUCACUGUCCCUUGG
ensembl:lncRNA